rnacentral:rRNA from 1 species
GACGAACGCUGGCGGCGUGCUUAACACAUGCAAGUCGAACGGAAAGGCCCUGCUUUUGUGGGGUGCUCGAGUGGCGAACGGGUGAGUAACACGUGAGUAACCUGCCCUUGACUUUGGGAUAACUUCAGGAAACUGGGGCUAAUACCGGAUAGGAGCUCCUGCUGCAUGGUGGGGGUUGGAAAGUUUCGGCGGUUGGGGAUGGACUCGCGGCUUAUCAGCUUGUUGGUGGGGUAGUGGCUUACCAAGGCUUUGACGGGUAGCCGGCCUGAGAGGGUGACCGGACACAUUGGGACUGAGAUACGGCCCAGACUCCUAAGGGAGGCAGCAGUGGGGAAUAAUGCAAAAUGGGCGGAAGCCUGAUGCAGCAACGCCGCGUGCGGGAUGACGGCCUUCGGGUUGUAAACCGCUUUCGCCUGUGACGAAGCGUGAGUGACGGUAAUGGGUAAAGAAGCACCGGCUAACUACGUG